UUGGUAGAAAAAAAAAGUUUAUUAAGUAGUGCAUCCACAUUGUCAUAGGCUAAACAUUGUAUCUGUUUUAUUGAUUCCUAAAUAUUUUUUGUACUAAAUGGCUGUAAGUUUUUUUUCGCUGUAGUAUACUGCAAGACAGUACGGUACUAUAGCACACAGCACAUAAACCACUGUAUAUUGAGUGUAUCUAAACGAAGAGAUCAAGCAGCUGCAGGGAGGAACUGGGCCGAAUUUCUGGCAUGACGAUCUGCUUAUGGCCCAGAUCAAUAUUUCUAGGCCGAUGCCUCCUCAUGUGGCCACCUAGGGCCUGGCCCAUCUGAAAGCCCAACCCACACACCUCGCACGCGUGGAUUAGAGGCUUGGACGGGCCGGGCCGCCGCUUGUUGGUAGUGGGCCGGAGGUGACUGGUCCGGUGGCCGCCGAGCGCCUGGUGCGACGGGAACCGCCGCCCGCACGUCCGGCACUCGAACGCCGCCGCCGCCGCCUCCUCGUCCCGCCGGCGACGCCGUGGCUCCGCGUCCUCCUCAUCGCCGGACGAUGACAUCGCCGUCGUCGAGCCGCACGCCAGCGACAGCGAGAGCUGCACGUCGAGCUCCGCGAGCUGGCUAAGUUGGUUAUCGUCUUCUUCUUCCUCGAGCUCAAGCUGCAGAUCACUAGUGUAGUCCUCCUGCUGGUCCAUGGCGGUGACGACGACGAAGACGUCGCUAUCUCUCGCGAACGCAAAGGUUACACUUACACUUACACUUCACUAGCUUGGGUUAAUUAACAAAAGAUUAGAUUCAGGU
rnacentral:sRNA from 1 species